CCUACGGGGGGCAGCAGUGGGGGAUAUUGCACAAUGGGGGAAACUCUGAUGCAGCGACGCCGCGUGAGUGAAGAAGUAUCUCGGUAUGUAAAGCUCUAUCAGUAGGGAAGAAAAUGACAGUACCUGACCAUGUAGCCCCGGCUAACUACGGGCCAGCAGCCGUGGGAACACGGGGGCGGCAAGCGUUAUCCGGAUUUUCUGGGCGUAAAGGGAGCGUAGACGGUUGUGUAAGUCUGGAGUGAAAGUCCGGGGCCCAACCCCGAGACUGCUUUGGAAACUGUGUAACUGGAGUACAGGAGGGGCAGGCGGAAUUCGUGGUGUAGCGGUGAAAUGCGUAGAUAUCAGGAAGAACACCGACGGCGAAGGCAGCCUACUAGACUGAGACUGACGUUGAGGCUCGAAAGCGUGGGGAGCAAACAGGAUUAGAUACCCGAGUAGUC
rnacentral:rRNA from 1 species